rnacentral:rRNA from 1 species
ACGGGUGAGUAAUACAUCGGAACGUAUCCUGGAGUGGGGGAUAGCCCGGCGAAAGCCGGAUUAAUACCGCAUACGCUCUGAGGAGGAAAGCGGGGGACCUUCGGGCCUCGCGCUCAAGGGGCGGCCGAUGGCGGAUUAGGUAGUUGGUGGGGUAAAGGCCUACCAAGCCGACGAUCCGUAGCUGGUCUGGGAGGACGACCAGCCACACUGGGACUGAGACACGGCCCAGACUCCUACGGGAGGCAGCAGUGGGGAAUUUUGGACAAUGGGGGCAACCCUGAUCCAGCAAUGCCGCGUGUGUGAAGAAGGCCUUCGGGUUGUAAAGCACUUUUGUCCGGAAAGAAAUCAUCGGGGCCAAUACCCCUGGUGGAUGACGGUACCGGAAGAAUAAGCACCGGCUAACUACGUGCCAGCAGCCGCGGUAAUACGUAGGGUGCGAGCGUUAAUCGGAAUUACUGGGCGUAAAGCGUGCGCAGGCGGUGCUGUAAGACCGAUGUGAAAUCCCCGGGCUUAACCUGGGAACUGCAUUGGUGACUGCAGCGCUGGAGUAUGGCAGAGGGGGGUGGAAUUCCACGU